rnacentral:rRNA from 1 species
UACGAAGGGGGCGAGCGUUGUUCGGAUUUACUGGGCGUAAAGGGCGCGUAGGCGGCGUGACAAGUCACUUGUGAAAUCUCCGGGCUUAACCCGGAGCGGCCAAGUGAUACUGUCGUGCUAGAGUGCGGAAGGGGCUACUGGAAUUCUCGGUGUAGCGGUGAAAUGCGUAGAUAUCGAGAGGAACACCUGCGGCGAAGGCGGGUAGCUGGGCCGACACUGACGCUGAUGCGCGAAAGCUAGGGGAGCGAACAGG